UACGUAGGGUGCGAGCGUUGUCCGGAAUUAUUGGGCGUAAAGAGCUUGUAGGCGGUCUGUCGCGUCUGCUGUGAAAAUCCGGGGCUCAACCCCGGACUUGCAGUGGGUACGGGCAGACUAGAGUGUGGUAGGGGAGACUGGAAUUCCUGGUGUAGCGGUGAAAUGCGCAGAUAUCAGGAGGAACACCGAUGGCGAAGGCAGGUCGCUAGGCCACUACUGACGCUGAGAAGCGAAAGCAUGGGGAGCGAACAGG
rnacentral:rRNA from 1 species